rnacentral:lncRNA from 1 species
UUGAAGAGAUUUAAGCAGCAAAGGGAAGACCACAAAUCUCCGAGAAAAAACGAGUAAAAAGGAUAGCCUCGUGUACUAAGCUCACCUGCAAUCAUACACAGCUUUAUUUGCAAGAGCCUGUUUCCAGCUCGAACAAGUAAACCUGAAAAUUCUAUAGAAUAAAGGAAGAAUUGAAGGUACACUACUCCAUUGGAAUUUUGAGUCCUCAUCCCUUUUUUUUUAAAAGGCAAUUUUUAUUUUUUUAAUCUUGAAUUCAAAGGGAGCAGCUGUUAGCUGAAUAAGAAAUUGUAGUGUUAGUAGAUGAAGGUGUUAGCCACACCAAGUAGAUCAUCUCUACAACAUAUCAUAAACCUUUUUUUUAUUCUUUGUAAAUUUUGAUCAUUGAUCUAAAUGUUACAUCAUACUUCUAUUCAAUGUGCUUGUAAAUUCAGUGGAAAAAUAUAAUGAAGAGUGGGAUGGUAUAUUUUAAUAAUAUUAUCUACAACAUAUCAUAUACCUUUUUUUUAUUCUUUGUAAAUUUUGAUCAUUGAUCUAAAUGUUACAUCAUACUUCUAUUCAAUGUGCUUGUAAAUUCAGUGGAAAAAUAUAAUGAAGAGUGGGAUGGUAUAUUUUAAUAAUAUUUUAAGCCAUACAUCUUAUCAUUAAUUCUGAGGUUAAAUAUAUGAAACAACCAGUUUGUUCCAUAGAAUUCUUAGCCUUGUUUGGC